AAAAGAUCGAAUGGGGAGAUUCAUCGUCAGCGUGGCUGGCUUCCGUGCGGUUCGCGAUGGCCGGGACCUCGGUCCCGCGUCACGCGUCCGCCGCGGUUGUGCCCGGCCGCGUCGGCGUGCACUUCUCCCCUAGUAGGACGUCGCGACCCGUUGGGUGUCGGACCGAUGGCCGUUUGGUCGCCUGCCACGUCGCGUUCACGCGUGCACGCGGCANACCGAAAUGGUCGAGCGUCCGGCUGCCCGGCGGUAUAGAACGCAUAUUGAACGGUAAUGAGCCGCAUUAAGUGCGUUCAGGCUCGCCGGCAGGCUCGUCUCGCCCGGAUUUACGGACCAAGCGCCGUUGCCGGGUGCUUGGCGUGGCCGUUAGUCGGCGAUGUCCUCGGACUGGCUCUAAAAUUCGAAAGGAUUACCGGUCGGCGACGCU
rnacentral:rRNA from 1 species